CACGUAGUUAGCCGGGGCUUCUUAGUCAGGUACCGUCAUUUUCUUCCCUGCUGAUAGAGCUUUACAUACCGAGAUACUUCUUCACUCACGCGGCGUCGCUGCAUCAGGGUUUCCCCCAUUGUGCAAUAUUCCCCACUGCUACCUCCCGUAGGAGUUUGGGCCGUGUCUCAGUCCCAAUGUGGCCGUCCACCCUCUCAGGCCGGCUACCGAUCGUCGCUUUGGUGGGCCGUUACCCCGCCAACUGGCUAAUCGGACGCGGAUCCAUCGUAUGCCGAUAAAUCUUUUCACACAGUACCAUGCGGUAUUGUGCGCUUAUGCGGUAUUAGCAGCUGUUUCCAACUGUUAUCCCCCUGCAUACGGCAGGUUAUCCACGCGUUACUCACCCGUCCGCCACUAACUCGGAAAUCACUAGGUUUCAAUCCGAGUCCGUUCGACUUGCAUGUGUUAGGCACGCCGCCAGCGUUCAUCCUGACGCCAGGAUCGAAACUCUA
rnacentral:rRNA from 1 species